CACAAUGGGCGCAAGCCUGAUGGAGCAACACCGCGUGAGUGAAGAAGGGUUUCGGCUCGUAAAGCUCUGUUGUUAAAGAAGAACACGUAUGAGAGUAACUGUUCAUACGUUGACGGUAUUUAACCAGAAAGUCACGGCUAACUACGUGCCAGCAGCCGCGGUAAUACGUAGGUGGCAAGCGUUAUCCGGAUUUAUUGGGCGUAAAGAGAGUGCAGGCGGUUUUCUAAGUCUGAUGUGAAAGCCUUCGGCUUAACCGGAGAAGUGCAUCGGAAAC
rnacentral:rRNA from 1 species